ensembl:lncRNA
CAUGGCUGGACAAGGUGGCUCAUACCUGUAAUCCAAGCACUUUGGGAAGCGGAGGUGGGAAGAUCACUUGAGCCUAGGAGUUCAAGAUCAGCCUGGGCAACAUAGUGAGACCCUAUCUCUCUUAAAUAAAUAAAUAAAUAAAUAAAUAAAUAAAUAAAUAAAUUAUCUAGGUGUGGUGGCACACAUCUGUGGUACCAGCUAUACAGGAGGCUGACGUGGGAUAGUUCCUUGAGCCUGAAGGCCCAGGUUGCAGUAAGCCAUAGUCAUGCCACUGCACUCCAGUGUGACAGAGCCAAAUCCUGUCAAAAAAUUUUUUAAAAAGAGUCCUGACUGGUGAGUGGCUCUCACACUGCAUGACACAGCUAUACUUACAUCUCCGUGUGGCUCCAGCUUUCUAGAACACAUCAAGCUUCCCUGACCCAUGCCAUGCCCUCUGGCCUCUGGGCCUUCACUGAAUGCUAUUCCCUCUACUUCUUGAGAUGGACUCUCAUUCUGUCGCCUAGGCUGGAGUGAAGUGGCGUGAUCUCUACUCACUACAACCUUUGCCUCCUGGGUGCAGGCAAUUCUCCUGCCUCAGCCUCCCAAGCAGAUGGGAUUACAGGCACAUACCACCAUGCCUGUAUUUUUAGUAGAGAUGGGGUUUCACCAUGUUGGCCAGGCUGGUCAUGAACUCCUGACCUCAGGUGAUCUGUCCACCUCGGUCUCCCAAAGUGUUGGGAUUACAGGUGUGAGCCACCGCACCCGGCCUAUUCUCUCUUCUUAGCAUGUUUUCCCCACCUUUUCCUGGCAAUAACCUGUCCUUCAAGUCUUUGCUUGGACAUUACCUCCUUCAGGAAACCUUCCCUGAACACCACCCAACUUCCACCUACUCAUUCUCUCACGUAGGUUCCCACAGCAGGUGUCUCCCUCAACUCACCCUGGACGGGGGCCACCUGGAUUACAUUCAUCGUCUCUUCCACUGGACCAUGAGCUCCUUGAGGGCAGAUAAGAAAACUGAGGCUCAGAACAGGAAGUUCAUUGCUCAACAUCAAAUAUCCAGGAAAUGGUGGAGCCUGAAUGGGAACUCAACUUCCGACACGGCAGUGGAUGUGGCCCAUCCCUCGGUGGUCUGGCUAGGUCUAUCUUAUGACUGUACGAGGUGAGUGAACAUGGGAGGAAUUGUUGAGAGCUGGGUGGGGAAAGAAGAGAGGUGUUAGGCUGUGGGGAGUGGAGGGACUUUGAAGGGAAAGAAAUUCCUAACUCUACCACUUCUCUGGUGACCUUCAUGGUUUGCCAUCUCUGCAUACUUUGAAUGCUUAUUUACUGGAUUAUUUUGUUCCAGAUUGACUUGCUCUGCAAAAAUCUUCAAUAAAUAAAUUCUUUUGUCUGGGUGCAGUGGUUCACACCUGUAAUCCCAGCACUUUGGAUGGCUGAAGUGGGAGGAUUACUUGAGCUUAGGAAUUAGAGACCAGCCUGGACAACAUAGUGAGACCCCAUCUCUACUAAAAAAAAAAAAAAAUCAGCCAGGCGUGGUUCCAGCUACUCAAAAGGCUGAGGCAAAAGGAUUGUUUGAGCCCAGGAGAUUGAGGCUGCAGUGAGCUAUGAUCAUGCCACCACACUCUAGCCUGGAUGAUACAGCAAGACCCUAUAUCAAAAAAAAGAAAAAAAAAUUUAUAAGGAAACUUCAUGAGACUGUAAGCAGAAAAAAGUGCCAGAAGUCAUAAACAAUAAAAACCAAUGCCUAGGCCAGGCGCGGUGGCUCACGCCUGUAAUCCCAGCACUUCGGGAGGUCGAGGCGGGCGUUUGAGACCAGUCUGACCAACAUGGUGAAACCCCAUCUCUACUAAAAAUACAAAAAUUAGCCAGGCAUGAUGGCAGUCGCCUGUAAUACCAGCUACUUGGGAGGCUGAGGCAGGAGAAUCACUUGAACCUGGGAGGCGGAGGUUGCAGUGAGCUGAGAUCGCGCCAUUGCACUCCAGCCUGGAUAACAAGAGCAAGACUUUGUCUCAAAAACAAAACAAAACAAAACAAAACAAACAAAAACUAAAACCAAUGCCCAUUGAAGGCUUACCCUGUGCCAUAAAAUGUUUGAGCGCUUUCUGUAUAUUAACUUAUUGAAUCUCUGUAAUAACCCUAGAAAUAGGUGCUUUUUCUCCCACUUCAAGGAUGAAGGAACAGGGAUGGGGGAACUAAUGAGCUUAAAGGAAAAUAGCUUGUAGGGGCUAGAACUGGGAUUUGAACCGCCUAAAACCAGGAUUAGGAGCUAAUCCAUAACUACCACUAUACUCACUUUUAAAGAAAAAUUAAUUACUUUAAAAAAAAAAUCAACAUUAGUACCAUCUCAAUCAUUAAAAACCAAUCUACCUGUACCUUGCAUAUAGGAGAGCAGAGGGCCAGGGCCGGGGACCUCCGGGCUGACUUAGUGCAAAGGCAAUGUUUUGUUACUUUUAAAAAUUCUAGACUGAAUAUUGGAGUGGUUUGCAGAAGAGAGAGAAAAUGUUGAUAAAACUUCAGGAGAAUGAGUGGUCGAAAAUUUUUGACAUUCUUUAAACUUGACAGGCCCAGAAACAGAAGGGGCUGGGGUCUGGACUCCUGGGUCUGAGGGAGGGGGCUGGGGGCCUGAACUCCUGGGUCUGAGGGGAGGGAGGGGCGGGGGCCUGGGCUCCUGGGUCUGAGGGAAGAGGGGCUGGGGUCUGGACUCCUGGGUCUGGGGAGGGAGGGGGCUGGGGGUCUGGACUCCUGGGGUCUGAGGAGGAGGGCUGGGGACCUGGACUCCUGGGUCUGAGGGGAGGAGGGGCGGGGGCCACGGGCUCCUGCUGAGGAGGAGGAGUUCAGGAGUCUGAACUCCUGGGUCUGAGAGGGCGGGGGCCUGGAUCCCUGGGUCUGAGGGAGGGGCGGGGCCUGGAC